rnacentral:snRNA from 1 species
AAUAAUAAUCUAUGAGUUUUGCU